AGAGACAGCAGUCGCCACGGUAAUACAGAGGGUGCGAGCGUUAAUCGGAUUUACUGGGCGUAAAGCGUGCGUAGGCGGCUUUUUAAGUCGGAUGUGAAAUCCCUGAGCUUAACUUAGGAAUUGCAUUCGAUACUGGGAAGCUAGAGUAUGGGAGAGGAUGGUAGAAUUCCAGGUGUAGCGGUGAAAUGCGUAGAGAUCUGGAGGAAUACCGAUGGCGAAGGCAGCCAUCUGGCCUAAUACUGACGCUGAGGUACGAAAGCAUGGGGAGCAAACAGGAUUAGAUACCCGCGUAGUCCCUGUCUCUUAUAU
rnacentral:rRNA from 1 species